rnacentral:lncRNA from 1 species
GCUCAUUUUCAUAAAGAAUGCAUUCAGAGUUCCACAGCCUCUAAAUAACUUUUGGUUGUCUUAAAUGAAGAGCCUGCAGCGUGACCAGAUCCCAUCUACAUUAGGACUCUGUAAUAAACAUUGUCAAAGAUGAAAUGGAGCGUGGGACACACCAAAGUAGCAAACAUUUCAGAUGUGGGAGCUGAGACACAGCAGAGGCUCCUUCAGGACUGGACAAACUUCUUAUGGCUGGCGGAGCAAGUAGCCCUAGUCACAUGUCUUUGCAGAAGGGCAAACAAGAUCCCAAGGGCUGCUGAACUCUCUACGUCGCAGCCUGGUCAUAAAAGAAACGGGUAAUAAAGGAUGGAUGAUGUUCUGUGCCUCACCAGUCCUUUGCUUUGCUGUGACCAGGUCAGUCCAGGUCAGGACCCCUCUGCCUGCCUGCAAUCAUGGUUCUUCUCAGCUUUGCAUUUUCUACAGAAUCUACCUUGAAAAAUUUCACCUCCCUAAUCAACCUCUUGAAACUUUAGUUUCUUGAGUUUAAGUUACAACUUUAUUAAGUUGUAACACUCACUUUCCAU